rnacentral:rRNA from 1 species
UACGGGGGGGGCAAGCGUUGUUCGGAAUUACUGGGCGUAAAGCGCGUGUAGGCGGCACGGCAUGUCGGAUGUGAAAUCCCAUGGCUCAACCAUGGAAGUGCACCCGAAACUGCCGAGCUGGAGUCUCGGAGAGGAAGGCGGAAUGCUUGGUGUAGAGGUGAAAUUCGUAGAUAUCAAGCGGAACACCGGUGGCGAAGGCGGCCUUCUGGACGAUGACUGACGCUGAGACGCGAAAGCGUGGGGAGCAAACAGG